AAAAAUAAAAGAUAAUGACAAACAAACCUUAUUUUGCAAAUUUCAGUUUGAGAAUGGCAUUUUGGCAAAUUCUCCUCUCUGGUCUCUCUUUCUCGCCUCUGUCUCACACACACUUCCCCCCUCUCUCUCCCGAAUUUUGAAACUUUGUUUUCGGGUUUGGAAUAAAAGUUGAAUUGAAGCUCUACACGAAUUAAGUCUGUGGACUUUUUUUGAACUGUAUUCUGUAUACCUCUCUCUCUAGGGUUUUGUUCUAAUGGAGCCUCUAGAAUUUGUUAUCGACAAAUUCAGAGGUUUGGGUCAAUGGACUCAAGGCGUCAUUGAUAGCUUCAUUCACUGCCCCCGUCGGAACACUCCAGUUGAAAUAUUGAAGAGGCUACAACGAGAAGCUUUUUCGGAUUUGAUGAAGCUCAGGGACAGGCAAGACAAGGUAGAAAGAAUUCUUUCCUUGUAUAAGACUGCUAAAGGGAGUCCAUUUCAAGAAGUGGGUACUGUUCUAAGAGGGGAUGUUAAUUUCAUGGGAGGUUUGCUGAUGAUGAUGAACAGUGUCGAUUCACAUGAGGAUGGUAACAACUACAAUGUACUUGAUAAAGCUGGUCUCAGAACUGGACUUGAUAUGAGGUUCACUUUUGAAACCACAAUCCAGGAUAAUGAUUCCCUUGUUGUCGAGUUUUUAAGCUCUCAAAAUCCCAACAACAAUAACGAUUGUCAGGGAUUAGGAAGCUCACUUUCUUUAUCAAAGCUCUGCUAUACAGCUAAUGCUAGUGACUGGCUAUCAGCAUUUGUUAUCCCCUUGGGUGGGAAAGGCAGAGAUGUUGCAAUUCUCAAAGACCCUUCUCAUCAGGGUAAGGGCCUAACUGAUAUUUCAUCUUCCGGACCAUCUCUUUUGAAUCAGCCAAGUGGUAGUGCAAUUGGAUUAAUGGUGAAGAAAUCAAAUAUCAUUGCUUCAUUGGCUCAGUUUGUUUCUGGGCAGGUAAUGCAUUUGGAUUCUCAUAGCUUUGGCCAUUGUUUUAGCACAUUUGGGCAAGUUUUGUAUCAACUUCCAAGAGGAACAAAGCUCUCGGUCAUGGGACUUUUGCAAUCACCAAAAUUAGCAUGCCAAUUACCUGCCUCUUAUGGACCGUUCACCCUCUCUUUAGGUGGUUCUAAACAUCAGGAAACUCCUGAGGGAAUGGUUGAGAAUUUAGUUUCCACCAUUGGAAAUAGCUCACAGGGAAAUGUACCAACUGGGUCCGUUGCUUUGAUGUUGGAGUCAGAAAUUGACGAGUUCACUAAGAUUGGUGGCUGGAUUGAGCUUAAGAACUCGGAUCCCAGAUAUCUAAAAUGGGGGGCGAGUUUGUCGGAUGAUUCUGAAGAUUCAUUUGGAUGGGGAAUGAAGUUUGGUGGGAUGAUUGAAGGUCCCUCAAAUUUUGAUCAUUUUCAGGUUGAAACUUACAUGAAAUUGAACUUUGGAAAGAAAUUCAGUAUAAAGCCUGGGAUUGCUUAUAUAAUGGAUGGGAAUGCUAGAGUAACUGCACUCAUGCUUCGGUCUAAUUGGUCACUUUGACCACCAUCUUCAGCUCGAGUAUAGGUCCAUUGUUUGAAAUAUCAAAUCCAGUCUGCACUGCAGGAUAUUACAGUGGGGCUCUAUGUCUGAAGGGUUCUGAGUCAGUUGAGGUCUGGACUGCAUUGGAUUGACUCUUCAAUUACUCGCUUCCAUAUUACUUCUUGGAGAAUGGUCUUGAGAGACUCUUUGUUUCUGGUCUAAAUGACCUCUUUCGAAUCAGGAUGAGUCGGCCUUGGCAGUCCUAGCAAAUUGUAGCUUAUGCCUAGACUGAAGUUUUGUUUGACUUAGUUGUUGGGCCCAAGUUUGGGCCUUCCUUGAUCGAUACUGGACUUUAAAAUUGUACACAUCACGAGU